rnacentral:SRP_RNA from 1 species
GCUAGGUAUAGUAGCAAGUGCCUAUAGUCUCAGCUACAUGGGAGGCUAAGGCAGGAGGAUCCCUUAAGUCCAGGAGUUCUGAGUUAUAGUAUGCUCAGUGAUUAAGUUUCUGUACUAAGUUUGCUAUCAAUAUGGUGACCUCCCAGGAGUAGGGAACCACCAGAUGGCCUAAGGAGGGAUAAACCAACCCAGGUUGGAAAUGGAGGAGGUCAAAACUAUGCUGAUCAGUACUGGAAUUACACCUGUAAACAGCCAAUGCACUGUAGCUUGGGCAACAUAACAAGACCCCAUGUCUUA